UUUUUGGAGAGUUUGAUCUUGGCUCAGGACGAACGCUGGCGGCGUGCCUAAUACAUGCAAGUCGAGCGCUGGAAGCUAAUUUCAUCCCUUCGGGAUGAAAUUAGUGGAAAGAGCGGCGGACGGGUGAGUAACACGUGGGCAACCUACCUAUAAGACUGGGAUAACUCGCGGAAACGUGAGCUAAUACCGGAUAAUACUUUUUAUUGCAUAAUAAGGAGUUUGAAAGGCGGCGUAAGCUGUCACUUAUAGAUGGGCCCGCGGCGCAUUAGCUAGUUGGUGAGGUAAAGGCUCACCAAGGCAACGAUGCGUAGCCGACCUGA
rnacentral:rRNA from 1 species